AUGGCCGCAAGGAGGGCCGCUUCCUCCUUCCUCUCGCGCCGCGGCCUCCUCGCGAAGCCUCCCGCCGAUUCUCUUCUCGGAGCAGACAAUGCACGGCGCUUGUUGCUAGGAGCAGUUGACAGGUUCAGCACCGCACCGGCAGCCGCCGCCGACGAGCAGCCGAUCAAACCCCCCGUGGAGGUCAAGUACACGCAGCUCCUCAUCAACGGCAACUUCGUCGAUGCAGCAUCUGGGAGGACGUUCCCGACGGUGGACCCCCGCACCGGCGAGGUCAUCGCCCGCGUGGCCGAGGGGGACGCCGAGGACAUCGAGCGCGCCGUCGCCGCCGCCCGCAGGGCCUACGACGAGGGUCCCUGGCCGAGGAUGACCGCCUACGAGCGGUGCCGGGUGCUGCUGCGGUUCGCGGACCUGAUGGAGCGGCACAACGACGAGAUCGCGGCGCUGGAGUCGUGGGACGGCGGGAAGCCGCUGGAGCAGUCCGCCGGCGGGGAGGUGCCGAUGGCGACGCGGUGCAUGCGGUACUACGCCGGGUGGGCGGACAAGUUCCACGGCAUGGUGGUGCCGGCCGACGGCCCGCACCACGUGCAGGUGCUGCGCGAGCCCAUCGGCGUCGCCGGCCAGAUCAUCCCCUGGAACUUCCCGCUGCUCAUGUUCGCCUGGAAGGUCGGCCCGGCGCUCGCCUGCGGCAACGCCGUCGUGCUCAAGACCGCCGAGCAGACGCCGCUCUCCGCGCUCUACGUCGCCAGCCUCCUCCACGAGGCCGGCCUCCCGGACGGCGUCCUCAACGUCGUCCCCGGCUUCGGCCCCACGGCCGGCGCCGCGCUGUGCAGCCACAUGGGCGUCGACAAGCUCGCGUUCACCGGAUCGACUGGCACGGGCAAGAUUAUUCUUGAACUGGCGGCGAGGAGCAACUUGAAGCCGGUGACGCUGGAGCUCGGCGGCAAGUCUCCGUUCAUCGUCAUGGACGACGCCGAUGUCGACCAGGCCGUCGAGCUCGCGCACCGGGCGCUCUUCUUCAACCAGGGGCAAUGCUGCUGCGCUGGGUCUCGGACGUUCGUGCACGAGAGCGUGUACGACGAGUUCGUGGAGAAGUCCAAGGCUCGCGCCCAGAGGCGUGUCGUCGGCGACCCCUUCAAGAAAGGUGUUGAGCAGGGACCUCAGAUCGAUGGCCAGCAGUUCAAGAAGAUCCUGGGCUACGUCAAGUCGGGCGUCGACAGCGGCGCAACCCUCGUGACCGGCGGCGACAGGGUAGGCAGCAGGGGUUUGGAAAAAGUCCAAAAUAAACCUUAA
rnacentral:rRNA from 1 species